CAAUAGCGUAUAUUUAAGUUGCUGCAGUUAAAAAGCUCGUAGUUGGAUUUCGGGUGGGAAUGGCCGGUCCGCCGUUUCGGUGUGCACUUGCUACGCCCACCUUGCUGCCGGGGACGUGCUCUUGAGUUCACGCUCGGGACACGGAGUCGGCGAGGUUACUUUGAGUAAAUUAGAGUGUUCAAAGCAGGCCUACGCUCUGAAUACAUUAGCAUGGAAUAACACGAUAGGACUCUGGCCUCUCUUGUUGGUCUGUAGGACCGGAGUAAUGAUUAAGGGGGACAGUCGGGGGCAUUCGUAUUUCAUUGUCAGAGGUGAAAUUCUUGGAUUUAUGAAAGACGAACUACUGCGAAAGCAUUUGCCAAGGAUGUUUUCAUUAA
rnacentral:rRNA from 1 species